AGUUCCAGCUUGAUUCUAAGUAGUUACUGUCCUAGUAAAUAGCUUCCACCUCCUUUUUGGCCCUCUUAUGGUUUUAUCGGCUUAUGUUUUUCCAUCAACGUGUUCCCAUCUACUGUCUGUCAUCUAGAACAGACGUUUUGAGAUGUCAAAUGUUUUGAGCUGCUGGCUGCUUGUUUUUGUAAAUAAAGUUUUAUUGGCACACCCAUGCUCAUUUGUUUGCAUAUUGUCUGUCUGUAGCUGCUUUUGUGCUACAGUGGCAUAGUUGAGCAGUUGAAACAGAAGACAGCAGAGCAGAAUUGUUGCCACAGAGACUGUGCUGAAAAUAUAUGCAGAUGAUGAACAUUCUUAAGCCAAUUGCCUUUGAUGUUAUUCAUUUCAUGUCUCAACUAUUUGAUUAUUACUUGUAUGCAAUAUAUACCUUUUUUGGUCGGAAUGAUUCAUUGGAAUCAACUGGACUCGGCCUUAGUAGUAGUAGACUAAGAACAACUCUAAACAGAAUACAAGAAAGCCUUAUUGAUCUAGAAGUUUCAGCUGAUCCUACUGCCACACUCACAGCAGCAGAAGAAAGAAAGGA
rnacentral:sRNA from 1 species